CAGCCGCCACGGUAAUACGUAGGGUCCGAGCGUUGUCCGGAAUUAUUGGGCGUAAAGGGCUCGUAGGCGGUUUGUUGCGUCGGGAGUGAAAACCCAGGGCUUAACUUUGGGCUUGCUUUCGAUACGGGCAGACUUGAGGCAUUGAGGGGAGAACGGAAUUCCUGGUGUGGCGGUGAAAUGCGCAGAUAUCAGGAGGAACACCGGUGGCGAAGGCGGUUCUCUGGCAAUGUUCUGACGCUGAGGAGCGAAAGUGUGGGGAGCGAACAGGAUUAGAUACCCCCGUAGUCCCUGUCUCUUAUAC
rnacentral:rRNA from 1 species